rnacentral:rRNA from 1 species
GAUUUCUGGUUUAAUGCACCUGGCCCGCGGCCACUAGGCUUGUGAGUGCCGGCGCGCGUUUACCAUCCUUCUAGAAAACGAUUCUGCCAUUAACUUGGUUGGGACCGCGAUCUAGAUCUUUUACUUUGAAAAAAUUAGAGUGUUUAAAGCAGGCUUUUGCUAUGAAUACAUUAGCAUGGAAUAAUAAUCUAGGACUUCGGUUCUAUUUUGUUGGUUUCUAUAACUGAAGUAAUGAUUGAUAGGGAUAGUUGGGGGUGCUAGUAUUGGCCGGCCAGAGGUGAAAUUCUUGGAUUCGGUCAAGACUAACUUAUGCGAAAGCAUU